GUGAUCUUUACUCCUGGUGUCACACCCCUGAGGGCCUCCCUCCUACACUGAAUUAGGGCUGCCACUGUCCCUCAUACUUGCCUGUGACCCUGCCUUUGGAGGACACGUUUCUGCAGCUCAGCCUUGGCACCCCUUUGCACAAGCUGGUGGCAUUGGCCCCUCUGCUAUUAAGCCACAGUUGUUCAUCUGUUCAACAAAGUCUACCCGCUGUGCCGUCUGUGGCUCUCCAAGGGCUGGGGUGUUGAAGAAAACCUGCUGGCUGUGAAACAGAAGGGGAGUUGUUUUAUUUCAUGCCGGUACUUUUCAGGGACAAGACACUGAAGAAAGUCCUAUUACCUUCUUUUAGAGAACCAAAGAAGGAGAGGGGGUUCGCUUUAUUCCUGCCAAGGGACAGUCAGGUUAGUACUGUCAACCGUCAUGGUGGGAAAAUGGACAUGGACAACCCAGAGAGGCCAGCAGCCGACAGUCUGCAUAACUGAUAGGACCCGGCUGUGGACCCUAGGAGAGUCGAGGAAAGUCUUCCUUCUCCUACACUUUAUCCGGGGCAUCGAUUCCUUACCUUCUAUGCCUGGCUGUCUCCUCUACCACAUGCUUCAUCCUCAGGAUGAGAACUGCUUUAUGAAAACCAGAAGGCUGGAAAGUCUGGAAGACACUUGGAGUGGCCCCUCUUCUUCGUCAUGUAAAUGUAAAGGCUCAAAGGUGCUCCCUGCCCUGGGGAAGGAGUGCAGCAAGACCCUUUGUGGGAGACAAAGGCCUCUCCAUCACCCUUUACAUGCAGAGUUGAUCUUGUAGAGGAAGAAGAACUAUUCCUCUAUCCUCUAGGUUCUUCUGGCUGGCCCAAGAAUUAAACUGAGGGG
rnacentral:lncRNA from 1 species